rnacentral:tRNA from 11 species
GACUCCGUAGCUCAGUUGGUAGAGCAACUGACUCUUAAUCAGUGGGUCGAGAGUUCGAGCCUCUCCGGGGUCACAA